GGCCCAGAGAUGUGUUGGUGUGGUCCAUGAGGCCCAGAGAUGUGUUGGUGUGGUCCAUGAGGCCCAGAGAUGUUUUGGUGUGGUCCAGGAGGCCCAGAGAUGUUUUGGUGUGGUCCAGGAGGCCCAGAGAUGUGUUGUGUGGUCCAGGAGGCCCAGAGAUGUGUUGUGUGGUCCAGGAGGCCCAGAGAUGUGUUGUGUGGUCCAGGAGGCCCAGAGAUGUGUUGGUGGGGUCCAGGAGGCCCAGAGAUGUGUUGGUGUGGUCCAGGAGGCCCAGAGAUGCGUUGGUGUGGUCCAGGAGGCCCAGAGAUGCGUUGGUGGGGUCCAGGAGGCCCAGGGAUGUGUUGGUGUUCAUGCACGCCUGUCUUAUUGUUACUGUCUGCUGUCACGCACCAACCGCCAAGACAAAUUCCUUGUAUGUUUGACAUAUUUUGGCAAUAAAUGUUUCCUGAUUCCUGAUGACGGACCCUGUAGGACGUGGAUGAGCCCUUCACUAGACUCUCAAGACACUUCUCCAACGCCUUCUGCACGUCUCUGUGAGGCGAUGAUGAGACGGGCCCCCUCAGGUUCUGGUGCUCUCUCGAAGAAAGAACACUUGUAUUAUUGUGUCAAAGAAUUACAACACUUGUUUAGAAGCUAAUCCUCUUUUUCUCUGGGACCAGCGAGCUACUGUCGACUUGUUGUCUGUUGUUAAACUCUUUCACAGAAACAAUACUUUACCUGAAGCCACAAUAUUGAAGGACAUGACAGGAACAUUCACGUUGUCUAGAAAAACCCUUCACAGACAGAGCAACAAUGGUCCUCCUCAUGAAGCUCUGCGGUCACACUGAGAUAGCGGAUGAUGAGCGCUCUGCUUCCACUCCAGACUCUUUGACAUGUUGGCAGACAGCAGCCCCCACAGGUCAUUUGAGGUCAACGCCAAGCUGGGCUGACCCACUAUCUUGCUCCUUCUCCUCUCGUUGUCUCCUGGUGUUCCUCCUCAGCUCGUCGCUCUGUCCAUCACGUGUCGUCAAGCCUUCUAUCUGCCGUGUUUGAUGAGUAACGUCUCUGCUUCUCCCUCUGUGAAACCACGUGCAUCCUGGGUAACGGGUUUCCCGGUGGUUCAGUGUGACCUUGCUCAUCUCCAUGGUUACUGCACGCAGAAGUUAUUGUGCUGACUUAUCACAGCUUUUCUUUUGGUAGUCAGCUGGUAAGUGUGUUCAGUAAUCACACAACUGAUCCGAGGCAGCUCCAGAGAGAACAUUCUCCAAGUGACCCGAACCCGUCCGGCCUCCGUGGGCCUCUGUUAGACGGGUAAACAACACGAGGACCUGUGCAUGAAGCAUGGAGCAUGAAGAAUACACUAAAUAAAGGCCAUGAAGUUGUGUAAGACAGACUCGUACAUGUGCACAGUAAAUAAUGUGGAUUCCGAAGCAAAGGUUAAAGACUCAGCAUUAAACAUUCCUUUAGUUUGUGUGCUGAUUCACACAAAUGUUGAAAUGAAUAACUAAACUUGCCUCCACCAUAAAACCAUCAUCUAUCAACCCUGAAGUAGUGGCAGAAAUCAUAGACAACUCUUCAAAUUGGAUGCGGGAGAAUAUGUCCUGGCAUUGGGCCUGUGGAGACAGAGUCAAUGGCAAAAGCGGUCUCAGAUGCCAGAGGCCGCUAUAUAAAACCACUUACCGAGUCUUCCAUUGAAACCUGGACCCUGUCGCUACCGGAAGAGGAAAACGCAUCCAGCACCGUACCAGUCCCUGACGCCCGCCCGGACCUUGGUGCCCGACCUGGGCUAAGCCAUCACCUCCGGUCGGGCCCUCCCUCCAGCACCAGAUCCAGAUCCCAAUCCCAUCCCUAGCCCCGCCUUGGACCCUUAUCCUAAACUCCCUUUAGCCCUAAACCUAACCCCCCUCUAGUACCCCUCUCCAGAUUGGAGAUCUGGAUCCUAACUGAGCUGUGGGUCUACUAACCCUCUAAGUCCCAGAGGCAGUCAGAGACCAAACCUGUCAAAAAGAAGAAAACUAUCUAUCUAUAAAAAAGAUCCCUCUAGCUUGACUUGACCCCCCCGCUGGAAGCCACCUCACCUCCACUCCACGCCGGAUUGAGAACCUGAAAGACAAAAAAACAUAAGGGACCUCAAAACCUUUUCAACAAACGAGGUGAUGGGGACAGCCUCGAUAUAGGCUUGUUAAUAAAGGUUUUAAUAUCCUCUUAUGAGAAUAACCUUUGAAGAGAAUUUGUUAUGGUUGGUUUUAAAGGUUUUUAACCAAAAUUCUAAACCCAACAUUUUAUUAGAACAUUAGCCCCCUCGUGGCCCUCUCCGGAGGACCUUACCUCGCCUCACCCUCAGGUGGAAGAGGAGGUGCAGGGGGGCGGUUCCCUCAGGUGAAGAGGAAUAUUUCUCUGACAAGGAGAAUCACACCAGUGUGAAGAGCGACUGACACAAAGUCUUUGUGCUCGCAGUGUUUUUACAUAAACUUCUAAAAUUCUCUCUGUCUUUGUGACUGUCCCUCUGUCUCUCUGUCUUUGUGACUGUCUCUCUGUCUUUGUGACUGUCCCUCUGCCUUUGUGAGUGUCCCUCUGUCUCUCUGUCUUUGUGACUGUCCCUCUGUCUCUCUGUCUUUGUGACUGUCCCUCUGUCUUUGUGACUGUCCCUCUGCCGCUGUCUUUCUGUCACUGACUCAGUGUCUUUUCUGUCUGUUAUUUGACAGACAGUGUUACCUUACAUUAGAACAGCGGCGAGCUGAGAUGUUGCACAUGAACAAGUGUCCACAGAGAGCGUCCUCACAGUGCGUCACAGGGGGCUGGUGGAUAGAAGCUGCAGGUGAAGGAGCUUCUCCUGCAGCCUGAGGUGGUUUCAUGUCCCGGUACCGAACCUUCCGAGACGUCAGCAGCUCAUGGUUUGAUGGGCUGCUGACUGAUUGAUUGACGGCUCAUAAAAGCGCCGUGUCUCCCUCCGGCACGCAAACACUUGAAAAUUGUGUUCGCCCCCCCACUCUGCUGUGAGAGCCACUUCCUGGAGGCUCCUUCCCAAGCUUCCUGUCUCGGAAAGUCAAGGGGUAUCUGAAAAACCCAUUUCAACCCACGCGGCCCGUGCAGCUGUUUCCUCUGAUGAUGGUGGAUGGUGUUGAUGUGUGUGUGUGUGUGUGGGGGGGGGGGGGGGCAGCUCGGUAAGUCUUGGGCAGACUACCAGACUCGGUGUGUAUCUGUGUGUUUUUCACAUCUGCUCCUCGUUGUCCUUGUUUUUUCUCUCUGCACGCCCCCCCCCCCCCCCC
ensembl:lncRNA